UCCGCUCGGCCCAGCCACAGGCUGCAGCUACUGAAUGGAUACAAACAGCCAACGUCUCAAUGGAUACAUUGUGCGCGCCGACCAAUCACAGGCGCCCGAGCGCUCGUUGCCCUGGAGACGGGCCGGCUGGAACAGCUCCCAAUGGUCUGACAUUAGUGAUAUCUGUAGGCAUUUUAUUAGAGACACCUGCCCUGUAUGGAAAGUAGACAAGUGACCUCGGAGUGCAGCAUAAAAUCAAGAAACCAGUAAUUGUAGACAGCUGACUGUGCCAUGAAACUAACAAGAUACCAAAAGGGAUUAGAAGGUGACUGGAACAUCAAGGAUAACAUGGCCACAGAACCCCUAGGGUGCAGCCUACUGAAUAUAUCAGUGCCUAGACAGUACUGAAUGCUGAC